UAUAUGAUUUCACAUGAUUUUAUGUAAAUAUAUGAACACAUAUAACACACAAACACACGUGUAAUGGAGAAGAUAUGAUGCAAACAACCGUGUAUAAAAAAAGUAACCUAAAGUGGGGUGGGCUUCGGUCAUCUUUCUUUUAAGCUGGAAGCCAGAAGACCGGAAAGCAAAUGCAGAGACCAGAAGGGACUUAAGGAGUCAGAAGAAACAGCUGUAAAUUAAGAGGCCAAAGUUCUCCUUCCUGAUUCUCGCCCUGCCCCUCACACAGGCCCUGCUAUUCAACAUUUUUGUCGAUGAAUUGAACGAAGGCCUAGAAGGCAUGAUUGAAGUUCUCUAACGUUGCAGAUGACUUAAAACUGGUACAACCCAAAUAAAGGACUGGAAGGUAUGGAUUAUGAUAUUCUGCAAGACAAAGGAUCUAGAACUAUCAUCUAUCACCUAUCUAAUGAAACUGAGCAUAAUACUACAGGGGAACAAACACUUAUUUAAUGAAAUAGAAGACUUCCAGGCGUUCCUAACAAAAUGACUAUAGUUGAAAAGAAAAUUUGAUGAUCAAAAUUCAUCAUCACUCAAGAGAAGCAUAAAAAGGAUCAUGAGUUUUCCCAACGUUUCAAGGAGUGAGGAAGUAAGGACCCAGAAUGAUAGAGAUAUUCAAAGGAAAGUAAGCAGGAUCAAGAAAGAGGAGCAGCAAGACCAGAGAAGACAGAAGCUGCAAAGGCACUGGCACCUUCAGGAACAGAGAGGAGGUCAUCAGAGGCUGCUAGGAUAAAGCCUUCACGUCUAGGGAGAAUGGCACUACGAAGAUCCAUUGAGACCGUUUAUCUUUAUUUCCCUCGGACUCUACCAUCCCUGAUGAAUCAUGUGAGGACUGAAUGAAACUUACGUAAAACACCUUGCAAACCAAAAAGUGCUAUAUAAACAUCAGCUGUUCCUCAUGACGGAUGCUGGCCUUUGGAGAACGCCAGGAUUUGGAUAGACCAAAGAAAAAGUCACUAAAGACCCUUUCGACUGUAGUUCUUCCUAGCUCAGAAAGUGAUGAAGUUAUCGUACCAAUAAGAACAGAAAAACAGAGGAUGUUGUUUUUCUCUCCUGUAGCAGCAGCUUUAAAUUUCUCUGGAGAGAGGGAGGGGAAGAAGCGUAAAAGGAGGAGAUGGAAAGAGUGAGCCGCAGUAGCAACAGCAGAUGGAGGAUAUUUUUUGAGAAUGACUUUAAGCCUUGUAGAUACUAAAUGCUUUUCCAUUCCCUGGUUCUCUCCUUGGUUUACUAAACUAAUCUAACAAGGAGUGCCUGAAUUAGGCCUACAUGGAGAAACUGCUGGGCAAAGUUACUCUACUCUUUGUUUUUCCCUUCUAUUUUAUAGCCAUAUGCAGUUGGUGGUAUGGUUCACUACUAUUUCUCUGUGUUUUGAUUACUGGUUAUUUUUGUGUUUUUUUAAACAAUCUACUUCUAGAUAAAGAUAAUUUUUAGCGUGUCCUGAAUUGGCGUUUUUGCUGCACAGUGUGAUAAGAGGGUAGGUGUAGGAAGGGAACCUGUGUGGAGAAUUGAUUGUACAAAAUUAAACUGGCUAGAAAUCUCUUUUCUAGCCUAUGGAUCAAAAGAAUUGCCUGGGGGCUCAGAGCUUUUAUGAAUUUAAAUAAUGAUCUGUAUUUUUAAUCUUUCUAACUUGUCAGAGAACGGAAGCUGCUCAGAGCUGGGAUCUUUGCUCUUGAAUAAAAACAAAACAAAACAAAAAAAAAACUCUUAAACCAUAACUUUUUCUCCCAGCUAACACAUCACUCUACAAAGGUGGUGGUGGUGGAGGUAUCUUUGGUUUUUCUUCUCUUUAUCCCAACCCUCUACAAGAGAGAGAAUGGAGAGUAGAAGCAGGAACCACCAGAGUAGGUUCACCUCCCAUAGGUACAGAAAGAUGUGGUCAAGAAGAAUUAAUCCUAGGGAGUAGCUAGGUGGUUCAGUGGAUAAAGAGCUUAAUAAAAGACACAUGAUUGAUUCAGGGCUGGACACAGGAGGUCCUAGGUUUAAAUCUAGCCUCAGAGCACUUCCUGCCUCUGUGACUCUAAGUCAUUUAACCCCCACUGCCUACCCCUUACCCUUCUUCUGUCUUAGAACCAAUACAUAGUGUUGAUUCAAAGAAGAAGACAGAAGAAGAGGAACAGGAAGGAGGAGAACAAGAAGUAAUCGGAGAAAGAAGAAUGAUGACAUUUGCUGAACAAUACUACAUUGGGGAGUAAUAAAGAGAGUUCUGAAAUUAACUGUAAA